rnacentral:lncRNA from 1 species
UAUAGUUGAGCACUGAGACCUGGGCUGGGAAGCCCCACUAAGCAGUUCCUUCCUCUAUAAAACAGACACAGAAGAGGAAUUUGAUCCAGAUCCCUCCUGCACAUUCCACCACACACCUUGGGUCUGAGCUCCAAACCACUGAGGGCAGCUGGAUGACUCCACUGCAGUUCAGGAACAAAACCUUGGAUCACCUGAGGACUGAGCUUUACCUACCAGGCAUCAUCUCAAGGCAGAUGAUUGCAAGAGCUUUGAUACUUUAGCUGAAGCACAGAACUGAGUUAACAUGUCUGCAGGACUUCGAAAUUAGAGCUGGCUGGUGUCCAGGCACUUGCAAGCAGGAGCAGAGGAGCCUCAGGGACCCGCAGCAUCUGCUGGCUUUGUUUUGGAAUUCUGCCUGUGCCCCAUUGGAGUCACUGUGUCAAGAGAAGAAUGUGAGGGAGUCCUGUGGGCCUGCAGUGCAGGAACAGCAGGAACAUCCCAGCUGAAG